rnacentral:tRNA from 1 species
GAGAAAAAAAGGUUUUGUAGUCUUAUACUUCUAAUUUAGGGCUAGGGGUGGUUCAAAUCUAUCCUUUUCUCA